rnacentral:rRNA from 1 species
CUACGGGGCGCUGCAGUGGGGAAUAUUGGACAAUGGGCGCAAGCCUGAUCCAGCCAUGCCGCGUGGGUGAAGAAGGCCUUAGGGUUGUAAACCCCUUUCAGCGGGGAAGAUAAUGACGGUACCCGCAGAAGAAGUCCCGGCUAACUCCGUGCCAGCAGCCGCGGUAAUACGGAGGGGACUAGCGUUGUUCGGAAUUACUGGGCGUAAAGCGCACGUAGGCGGAUUUGUAAGUCAGGGGUGAAAUCCCGGGGCUCAACCUCGGAACUGCCUUUGAUACUGCAAAUCUCGAGUCCGGAAGAGGUGAGUGGAAUUCCUAGUGUAGAGGUGAAAUUCGUAGAUAUUAGGAAGAACACCAGUGGCGAAGGCGGCUCACUGGUCCGGUACUGACGCUGAGGUGCGAAAGCGUGGGGAGCAAACGGGAUUAGAUACCCUUGUAGUC